rnacentral:rRNA from 1 species
GAUGAACGCUGGCGGCGUGCCUAAUACAUGCAAGUCGAACGCUUCACUUCGGUGAAGAGUGGCGAACGGGUGAGUAGUACAUAAGUAACCUGGCAUCUACAGGGGGAUAACUGAUGGAAACGUCAGCUAAGACCGCAUAGGUGUAGAGAUCGCAUGAACUCUAUAUGAAAAGUGCUACGGGACUGGUAGAUGAUGGACUUAUGGCGCAUUAGCUUGUUGGUAGGGUAACGGCCUACCAAGGCGACGAUGCGUAGCCGACCUGAGAGGGUGACCGGCCACACUGGGACUGAGACACGGCCCAGACUCCUACGGGAGGCAGCAGUAGGGAAUUUUCGGCAAUGGGGGAAACCCUGACCGAGCAACGCCGCGUGAAGGAAGAAGUAAUUCGUUAUGUAAACUUCUGUCAUAGAGGAAGAACGGUGGAUAUAGGGAAUGAUAUCCAAGUGACGGUACUCUAUAAGAAAGCCACGGCUA